rnacentral:rRNA from 1 species
GACGAACGCUGGCGGCGUGCCUAAUACAUGCAAGUAGAACGCUGAAGGAGGAGCUUGCUUCUCUGGAUGAGUUGCGAACGGGUGAGUAACGCGUAGGUAACCUGCCUGGUAGCGGGGGAUAACUAUUGGAAACGAUAGCUAAUACCGCAUAAGAGUAGAUGUCGCAUGACAUUUGCUUAAAAGGUGCAAUUGCAUCACUACCAGAUGGACCUGCGUUGUAUUAGCUAGUUGGUGAGGUAACGGCUCACCAAGGCAACGAUACAUAGCCGACCUGAGAGGGUGAUCGGCCACACUGGGACUGAGACACGGCCCAGACUCCCACGGGAGGCAGCAGUAGGGAAUCUUCGGCAAUGGACGGAAGUCUGACCGAGCAACGCCGCGUGAGUGAAGAAGGUUUUCGGAUCGUAAAGCUCUGUUGUAAGAGAAGAACGAGUGUGAGAGUGGAAAGUUCACACUGUGACGGUAUCUUACCAGAAAGGGACGGCUAACUACGUG